GCGGUUAUGAUGAAAUGGUAGACAUAUAACAUUUAAAAUGUUAGGAUUUAUAUCGUGUAGGUUCGAUUCCUAUUAACCGUA
rnacentral:tRNA from 1 species